CCCUUCAAAAAGACGAUUGAAAGCUGCUACAUCAAAAACCCGCCGAAUGCAUUAAACCGAAAUUAAAUGAUUAAAACGCAUUAAAAUAUUAAAAUACGUGUCAGUAAAGACUCGUAUAUCAGCGGGAACAUUGUUGGAGACUGUGUGCCGAAGUUUUAACCACUUUUCAACACAUCGUGAUAAGCGAGUGGAAUUGGAUUUGGGAGUCAGUGAAGACUUUUGGCAGGUGAGUUUACUGACCUGCCUCCAAGCCAACUUGCAGGAAGUCAUGAAAUUCCCCACGCACCAACAAUGGACGGCAAAAACAACACAGCAACUCUGCACAUAUUGGGAUGAGGCACACUGCAUAGCAAACCAGUCAAGUCCAUCUUCUCUGAAGUCACACUGAGUUCUGUUCUGUUCUGGACUCAAAAUUGUAAGUAAUCUCUUAUACCUCAUUUGACGUAUAAUAAUUGUACCGUAUGUAAUCUAUUGUGACAUAUAUGUCAAUGGCAGUGCUGUAGUAUAAUGUACCUCCACAGCUUGAAUC